rnacentral:rRNA from 1 species
UACGUAGGGUCCGAGCGUUGUCCGGAUUUAUUGGGCGUAAAGAGCUCGUAGGCGGUUCCGUAAGUCAGAUGUGAAAACUCAGGGCUCAACCCGGAGACGCCAUCUGAUACUGCGGUGACUGGAGUCUGGUAGGGGAACACGGAAUUCCUGGUGUAGCGGUGAAAUGCGCAGAUAUCAGGAGGAACACCGGUGGCGAAGGCGGAUCUCUGGGCCGAUACUGACGCUGAGGAGCGAAAGCGUGGGGAGCGAACAGG